UCAUAGACCUGUAGAGUAAGUGAUGAUUGACAGAUGUUUUAAAGCCCUGAUUCAAGAACCUUUUUUGGCUCAUGUUGAUGCCUAUUCAGGUGAAAGUCAAGUGAGUUAAAGCCCUGCCUUGGAUGGAGUGAAGCAUGUGCUUAAAUGCCUCCAUGAAUCAUGAUCUGCAUAAUAUUCCCUCAAGGAUCGAUUUUGGAGAAAAACAAGAUCAAAGAACGUGAGGCUUCACUGUCAUGGUGUUGAUGCUAAUCACAACUGGAAAAUGAAAUGGUGUGAGGGAGCUGAAGGCCCUGCACUAGGACAUGGUGAAAUCCAAGCUCUGUCAGCUGCUCAGGUGACUGAAUCCUACACACUCUCCCAAGGUAUGUAAAUAGGACUGGGCAGUUUUUAAUUUCUUU
rnacentral:lncRNA from 1 species